UGCCAAUAAGUGUGUGGCAGAGCAACACGAUGAUGUUCAUCCGAAAUCCGACCAACAUCGAGGACCAUGAGGGCAGUGGCAGUGGUAAUGCUCUGGUCUUUGGUUCCUGAGGGUGCAGCUCAGGAGGCAUGUUGACUAUGAAGAGUGACAUCCAAGUGCUUGAGAUGCGCUUAUGAUCAUGAAUGUGAGGGUGAAGGAGAGACAGAUUCUGAAUAUGCAGGAGGGGG